rnacentral:rRNA from 1 species
GUCAAAUGACUUAAGGCGAACGGCGGAGACCUAGGCACCCAGAGACGAUGAAGGGCGCAGAUACCGGCGAUACGCUCCGGGGAGCUGGCAACAAGCUUUGAUCCGGAGAUCCCCGAAUAGGGCAACCACUUGAACUACCUAUAUAAUUCAUAGUUAGGUAAGAGGCAACCCGGUGAAUUGAAACAUCUUAGUAGCCGGAGGAAAAGAAAGCAAAAGCGAUUCCCGGAGUAGCGGCGAGCGAAACGGGAACAGCCUAAACCGAUCCAUUAGGUUCGGUGUAGAGGGAGGACAUUAUGGAAUAACGUGUUCAAAAAAUACGUAUUCCAAAGAAAGCAUAACAAUGGAAUAUAUCCAAAAAAAUUGUGGAUAUAUUCAAUUUUUCAAUAGACGAAGCAGCUGAAUCCUGCACCAUAGAUGGUGAAAGUCCAGUAGUCAAAAAAAAAAUAUGCAAUUGUCUUAUCCCGAGUAGCAUGGGGCACGUGAAAUCCCGUGUGAAUCUGCGAGGACCACCUCGUAAGGCUAAAUACUCCUGGGUGACCGAUAGCGAAAUAGUACCGCGAGGGAAUGGUUAAAUAGAACCCCCGUAGGGGAGUGAAAUAGAACAUGAAACCGUUCGCUGACAAGCAGGUGGGAGGGGGUUUGACCCUGACCGCGUGCCUGUUGAAGAAUGAGCCGGCGACUUAUAAGAAGUGGCCAGGUUAAGGAAUAAUAUCCGGAGCCUAAGCGAAAGCAAGUCUGAAUAGGGCGUAUGAGUCACUUCUUAUGGACCCGAACCCGGGUGAUCUAAUCCUGACCAGGAUGAAGUUUGGGUAACACCAAAUGGAAGACCGAACCGACCGAUGUUGAAAAAUCGACGGAUGAGUUUGGAUUAGGGGAGAAAUUCCAAUCGAACUCGGAGCUAGCUGGAUCUCCCCGAAAUGCGUUGAGGCGCAGCGGCGACGAUGAGCUAUCUAGGGGUAAAGCACUGUUUCGAUACGGGCUGCGAAAGCGGUACCAAGUCGUGGCAAACUCAGAAUACUAGAUAAUGCAUUCCGUCAGCCAGUGAGACUGCGGGGGAUAAGCUCCGUUGUCAAGAGGGAAACAGCCCAGAUCACCAGCUAAGGCCCCUAAAUGGUCACUAAGUGGAUAAGGAUGUGAGAAUGCUUAAACAACCAGGAGGUUCGCUUAGAAGCAGCUAUCUUCCUUGAAAGAGUGCGUAAUAGCUCACUGGUAAAGCGUUCUUGCGCCGAGAAUGGCCGGGACUAAGUGACCUGCCGAAGCUGUGAGAUUUCCUCUAUUUAUAAUAGAAAGGGAUUCGGUAGGGGAGCGUUCCGCUCUCGGGUGAAGCUUUCACGGAAGUGGGGGUGGACGAAGCGGAAGUGAGAAUGUCGGCUUGAGUAACGAAAACAUUGGUGAGAAUCCAAUGCCCCGAAAACUAAGGGUUACCUCCACUAGGCUCGUCCAUGGGGGUUAGUCAGGACCUAAGACUAGGCCGAAAGGCGUCGUCGAUGGAAAACAGGUUAAUAUUCCUGUACUGAUUUUAUUGGGAACCGAGGGACGAAGGAGGCUAAACUGGGACUGCUUCUGGAUUUCAGUGGAAGCGUCCGAGACGUAGAAGGGUAGAAUAAAAACUAUCAAUAAGUUGAGGCGUGAUCCCGCAUUCCUUUUUAAAGGAUGUGCGCCAGCGAUGUCAUACUUCCAAGAAAAGCUCGAACACCAUUAACAAUAAAAUCACCUGUACCUGAAACCGACACAGGUAGGUUAGUAGAGAAUACUAAGGGGCGCGAGAGAACUCUCUCUAAGGAACUCGGCAAACUAGCCCCGUAACUUCGGGAGAAGGGGCGCCCUCUCUCUUAAAAAGAGAGGGUUGCAGUGACCAGGCCCAGGCGACUGUUUACCAAAAACACAGGUCUCCGCAAAGUCGUAAGACAAUAUAUGGGGGCUGACGCCUGCCCAGUGCCGGAAGGUUAAGGAAGUUGGUUAUUGCGUAAGCAAGAAGCUGACGACCGAAGCCCCGGUGAACGGCGGCCGUAACUAUGACGGUCCUAAGGUAGCGAAAUUCUUUGACAGGUAAGUUCUGUCCUGCACGAAAGGCGUAACGAUCUGGGCGCUGUCUCAGAGAGAGACUCGGUGAAAUAGACUUGUCCGUGAAGAUGCGGACUACCUGCACCUGGACAGAAAGACCCUAUGAAGCUUGACUGUAUCCUGGAAUAGGGUUUGGGCUCUUCUUGCGCAGCCUAGGUGGGAGGCUAUGAAGAUUUCCUUCCGGGGAAGUUGGAGCCAUCAUUGAGAGACCACUCUGGAAGAGCUAGAAUCCUAAUGGCGUUCCUUCUAACAGGACGCUUGACGGUUUCAGGUGGGCAGUUUAUUUGGGGCGAAUGCCUCAUAAAAGGUAACUGAGGCGUGCAAAGGUUCUCUCAGGCUGGACGGAAAUCAGCCGUGGAGUGCAAAAGCAGAAGAGAGCUUGACUGCAAGACCUACAAGUCGAGCAGGUACGAAAGUAGGCUUUAGUGAUCCGACGGUGCCGAGUGGAAGGGCCGUCGCUCAACGGAUAAAAGUUACUCUAGGGAUAACAGGCUGAUCUUCCCCAAGAGUUCACAUCGACGGGAAGGUUUGGCACCUCGAUGUCGGCUCAUCACAUCCUGGGGCGGUAGUACGUCCCAAGGGUUGGGCUGUUCGCCCAUUAAAGUGGUACGUGAGCUGGGUUCAGAACGUCGUGAGACAGUUCGGUCCAUAUCCGGUGUAGGCGCUUAGAGCAUUGAGAGGAUUCGAGUCUAGUACGAGAGGACCGAUUUGAACAAACCAACGGUAUACCAGUUCUCGCUCCAGCGGGAAACGCUGGGUAGCCGCGUUUGGAUGGAUAACCGCUGAAAGCAUAUAAGUGGGAAACCAACCUCAAGAUGAGUGCUCUCCAUCAGGCCGCAGCAAGAUAAGCUGUUUGAUAGGUGCCAGGUCUAAGAUCAGCAAUGGUUUCAGCCGAGGCAUACUAAAGGCCGAUUGAUUUUGAC